rnacentral:rRNA from 1 species
UACGAAGGGGGCUAGCGUUGCUCGGAUUUACUGGGCGUAAAGGGCGCGUAGGCGGCCACCGCAAGUCGACUGUGAAAUCUCCGGGCUUAACCCGGAAAGGUCAGCCGAUACUGCGGGGCUAGAGUGCAGAAGGGGCAACUGGAAUUCUCGGUGUAGCGGUGAAAUGCGUAGAUAUCGAGAGGAACACCUGCGGCGAAGGCGGGUUGCUGGGCUGACACUGACGCUGAUGUGCGAAAGCUAGGGGAGCGAACGGG